rnacentral:lncRNA from 1 species
ACAUGACACGUUGCUAGACGUCAAUCUUGUCUUAUAGGUUUGAUCGAAUUAAAGAGUUUAAUUCGAUCACCAAUUAGAAAGGAUUCUAAUUGUUAAGUUCGGGUUCGCGUAGUUUGGACUUAAAUCGAUUAGAAGAGUUCUAAUCAAGUUGGGUCAACUCACACUUACACCUAUUGCUGGCUAAGUAUGGAACCUAAUGGGUCACACACAAGAAAACUUAUCAAGGGUCUA